GUGGACACACGCGGUGGUCUCCCUCUAGAACUCACUCAGGUCCAGUCUAGAGAUGAUGUCACCUUGGUCUGCACUGCCGCCAACACCACCAUCAACAUGUCAAUUACAACAUGGUUUCGAGAUGAAGCUCGAGUUUUGAAUACAUUGAGUGCAAACAAUGACUGCUUUAUUCACCCACCCAACAAUACAGACAAUACUGCUGUGUAUCGUUAUGACCUGUACACAUCGAAGGAUUUCAGUGUAAGCUGUACUACCUUCCAGCACAACCUGACACUAACUACAACUGAAUAUUUGGAAGCUGGGGACGUGUGGAGAUGUAAAGAUCAAAACUUCAGAAGUAGUAACAACCUUACGUCAGAUAUGAAUACAGACUUCUCAGGUUCUGCCUCUGAGUCGACUUCACCACUGACUGAUUCACCAACAACGUUGGGAAUAUCUACAUCAAGAAAGACAACUCCAGACACACAC